rnacentral:rRNA from 1 species
UACGAAGGGGGCUAGCGUUGCUCGGAAUGACUGGGCGUAAAGGGCGCGUAGGCGGUUUAUACAGUCAGAUGUGAAAUUCCUGGGCUCAACCUGGGGACUGCAUUUGAUACGUAUGAACUUGAGUGGAGAAGAGGGUCGUGGAAUUUCCAGUGUAGAGGUGAAAUUCGUAGAUAUUGGAAAGAACACCGGUGGCGAAGGCGGCGACCUGGUCUUUAACUGACGCUGAGGCGCGAAAGCGUGGGGAGCAAACAGG